AAUGAACGCUGGCGGCAUGCCUAACACAUGCAAGUCGAACGAAGGCUUCGGUCUUAGUGGCGCACGGGUGCGUAACGCGUGGGAAUCUGCCCUCAGGUUCGGAAUAACAGCGAGAAAUUGCUGCUAAUACCGGAUGAUAUCGCGAGAUCAAAGAUUUAUCGCCUGAGGAUGAGCCCGCGUAGGAUUAGCUAGUUGGUGUGGUAAAGGCGCACCAAGGCGACGAUCCUUAGCUGGUCUGAGAGGAUGAUCAGCCACACUGGGACUGAGACACGGCCCAGACUCCUACGGGAGGCAGCAGUGGGGAAUAUUGGACAAUGGGCGAAAGCCUGAUCCAGCAAUGCCGCGUGAGUGAUGAAGGCCUUAGGGUUGUAAAGCUCUUUUACCCGGGAUAAUAAUGACAGUACCGGGAGAAUAAGCUCCGGCUAACUCCGUGCCAGCCGCCGCGGUAA
rnacentral:rRNA from 1 species